rnacentral:rRNA from 1 species
UACGUAGGGUCCGAGCGUUUGUCCGGAAUUAUUGGGCGUAAAGAGCUCGUAGGCGGUUUGUCGCGUCGAAUGUGAAAACCCGGGGCUCAACCCCGGGCCUGCAUUCGAUACGGGCAGACUAGAGUUCGGUAGGGGAGUCUGGAAUUCCUGGUGUAGCGGUGAAAUGCGCAGAUAUCAGGAGGAACACCGGUGGCGAAGGCGGCAUCCUGGACCGGUAUUGACGCUGAGGCGCGAAAGCCAGGGGAGCAAACGGG